rnacentral:rRNA from 1 species
GACGAGCCACACGAACGUUAUUCGGAAUUACUGGGCUUAAAGGGUGCGUAGGCGGUGCGGAAAGUUGGGUGUGAAAUCCCUCGGCUCAACCGAGGAACUGCGCCCAAAACUACCGUACUUGAGGAAGAUAGAGGUGAGCGGAACUUACGGUGGAGCGGUGAAAUGCGUUGAUAUCGUAAGGAACACCCGUGGCGAAAGCGGCUCACUGGGUCUUUUCUGACGCUGAUGCACGAAAGCUAGGGGAGCAAACGGG